AACGAACGCUGGCGGCAGGCUUAACACAUGCAAGUCGAACGCGCCCUUCGGGGUGAGUGGCAGACGGGUGAGUAACGCGUGGGAACAUACCCUUCGGACUGGAAUAACUGGGGGAAACUUCAGCUAAGACCGGAUACGUGCGAGAGCAGAAUGAUUUAUCGCCGAAGGAUUGGCCCGCGUCCGAUUAGCUAGUUGGUGUUGGUAAUGGCUCACCAAGGCGACGAUCGGUAGCUGGUCNGAGAGGAUGACCAGCCACAUUGGGACUGAGACACGGCCCAAACUCCUACGGGAGGCAGCAGUAGGGAAUAUUGGACAAUGGGCGCAAGCCUGAUCCAGCCAUGCCGCGUGAGUGAUGACGGCCUUAGGGUUGUAAAGCUCUUUUGUCAGGGAAGAACGGAUUGGGUUAAUACCUUGAUCUAAUGAC
rnacentral:rRNA from 1 species